AUUCAUAACACUGUGUGAGGGUGAAGGUGUCUGUCCACUGCACUUUACUAAGGAAAGAAUACUCCACAAAUAGAGGAGAUUCAAGCUGAAAGGGAGCAGACUCCAAAAGCAAAGGAACCAAAUCAUCUGUUUGGACACUGUAGCGUUAAAUUUGACUCUUUUCAAAACAAAUAAGCAUCAUGGGGAAAGGUGGGAGUGAAGAAUGGGAUGAAAAGCACCCAGACACUAGAACAACUCAGCCCAAGAAACAGGAGGACCAAGAGAAUAAAAGUUCAAAGAAGGGCUGUCCCACGUGCUGCUUGAAGACAAGGGACUGCUUGAUGAGCCCAGAGUGUGGCAGGGCCCUUCAGAUCUCCAGCGUUAUUGCCUUUUGUGGAACGUGUAUCCGGAUGUGGGUCUAGCUGAGCCAGGGGAUCAGAACCAGCUUUAUUCAGCUGUGGGAAUAACGCGCAUCCUCUGGCCUCCCUGAAUGACAGGAAUACUGUUUGAUUUCCUUCUAAUAUUAAAUUUUAUCACCAAAGUUCUCUUUAAGCAUCAACAUGAGACGCUUUCAAACAAGAAGAAAAUGAAGCAAUUACCGAGUCAACAUGAAGAUAAAACAAACAUUGUUUUGGUUAGUUUCAUUUUGAAGCCUAUUUAUGACUUGAUCAUUUGUUUGAUCAGAAAGCUGCAGUAUUUACACAACCCAUAUGUUAGAUUGUUAUAUUUAUGUUAUAAAUAAGAUGUUUAAGAAUGUAAAUAAGUGCAAUUUUCUGAUAAGAUUAGGUUAUAGGUGAAACUGUCUUUAGAUAGGUAAAUACCAUUCGUCUCCAUCCCAACAGAAAGAAAAAAUGCAGCAAUGAAAAACCUUUAAUUAACCUUUUACUGACAACUCAGUCUAAAGGACACAAAGUGCAUUCAAUUCUAGUCUAAAUGUAAUUAAUUGAAAUACUUUUUGCUGUCAGCACCUUUAUCUGGAGUCACAUGGAAAAGUUUUCUAGUGUAAUAAGCUUGUGAUAAAGAUGGUAUGUUUAAUAUGAUGCCACCGUGUAAGUAUCCAUAGUUUCCCAGAAAAAUAUUGACGUUGUAUGAAAUGUAAAUAAAAGGCAACAUGA